GUUCGAGCGUCAUUACAACCCUCAAGCUCUGCUUGGUGUUGGGCCUCGCCGGUUCCGGCGGGCCUCAAAAUCAGUGGCGGUGCAUCUGGCUUCAAGCGUAGUAAUUCUUCUCGCUUCAGGAGACCCAGGUGUGUGCUUGCCAGCAACCCCCAACUUCUAUGGUUGACCUCGGAUCAGGUAGGGAUACCCGCUGAACUUAA
rnacentral:misc_RNA from 1 species